AGUGAACGCUGGCGGCGUGCUUAACACAUGCAAGUCGAACGAGAACGGAUUAUAGCUUGCUAUAAUUGUCAGCUAAGUGGCGCACGGGUGAGUAAUGUAUAGGUAAUAUGCCUCUUACUAAGGGAUAACAAAUGGAAACGUUUGCUAAUACCUUAUACUCCUUAUUAACAGAAGUUAAUAAGGGAAAGAUUUAUUGGUAGAGAUUAGCCUGUAUUGUAUCAGUUAGUUGGUGGGGUAAUGGCUUACCAAGACUAUGACACAUAACUGGUUUGAGAGGAUGAUCAGUCACACUGGAACUGAGACACGGUCCAGACUCCUACGGGAGGCAGCAGUGGGGAAUAUUGCACAAUGGACGAAAGUCUGAUGCAGCAACGCCGCGUGGAGGAUGACACAUUUCGGUGCGUAAACUCCUUUUAUAUGAGAAGAUAAUGACGGUAUUAUAUGAAUAAGCACCGGCUAACUCCGUGCCAGCCGCCGCGGUAACAC
rnacentral:rRNA from 1 species